CCUGUUUUCUGACAUGUUCAAAAAAUAUCCGCACCUGAUAGUUUUCUGAUAGUAAUUGCUCAGAUUUUUGGGUAUUUGCAGUAUUCGAAAAUUCUUUUUAUUAAUGGCGGAUCAUCCAAAUAAGGAAACGUGGUAUUCAAAGACGAACCAACUGAUCAAUUAUCUUUUUAGUUUUUUCAGUGUUUUAUUCCCAGCUGAUCACUUUGUAAAUUCUAAAUAUGUGUUUUUAAAAUUUUAUUUUGUAAUAUGUACAUAAAAUUUUAUUUUUCAAAAAAUAAGAUAAAACAACGAAAUAAUAAAGAUAUAUUUGUAAUGUAUAUACUUUUAUUUCAUUAUAUGCACGCACGCAUAGUGUCAAAUAAAUACUUUGGUGCAGAUUGUUGACUUAUAAUUUCCAAUAUACGGUUAGGAUAAAAACCAACUUGUAUACAAGAUAACAAGAAAAAUAUAUAACAGAUUUGGCAUUUCGGUAUUUAAGAUUAACAUAUAGAAUUCUAAAUACAAAUGUAGCCCUAAGAAUUUAUGUCUUUUACGAGAAUGAAGAAUGAUAUUUAAAUAUUUUAUUUUUACAGAUGCGCAAUCUGUCGGCGUGUGUUACGGUAGAAACGGCGACGGUUUGCCGUCGCAACAAGACGCAGUGAACCUCUAUCGGAGCAACGGCAUAACCAGAAUGCGAAUUUAUGAUCCAGAUCAAGCUACUCUUCAAGCCCUAAAAGGAACCAAUAUCGAACUCAUGAUCGGCGUUCCUAACGAUGCUCUACAAUCCCUCAACGAUCAAGGCGCUGCAAACACAUGGGUAAGAAACAACAUCCAAA
rnacentral:lncRNA from 1 species